rnacentral:rRNA from 1 species
AAUGUCUAGCGGCGGACGGGUGAGUAACGCGUGAGCAACCUGUCCCUUACAGGGGGAUAACACAGCGAAAGUGUACUAAUACCGCAUAAGACCACAGAGUCACAUGGCUUAGGGGGUCAAAGGAGCAAUCCCGGUAAGGGGUGGGCUCGCGUCCGAUUUAGAUAGUUGGUGAGGUAACGGCCCACCAAGUCGACGAUCGGUAGCCGACCUGAGAGGGUGAUCGGCCACAUUGGGACUGAGACACGGCCCAAACUCCUACGGGAGGCAGCAGUGGGGAAUAUUGGGCAAAUGGGGGAAACCCUGACCCAGCAACGCCGCGUGAGGGAAGAAGGUUUUCGGAUCGUAAACCUCUGUCCUUGGUGAAGAGAGAGAGACGGUAGCCAAGGAGGAAGCCCCGGCUAACUACGUGCCAGCCGCCGC